UACAGAGGGUGCGAGCGUUAUUCGGAAUUACUGGGCGUAAAGCGCGCGUAGGCGGCUUUGCAAGUCGGGUGUGAAAUCCCCAGGCUUAACCUGGGAACUGCAUUCGAGACUGCAUUGCUAGAGUAUGGGAGAGGGAAGUGGAAUUUCCGGUGUAGCGGUGAAAUGCGUAGAUAUCGGAAGGAACAUCAGUGGCGAAAGCGGCUCACUGGGUCUUCUCUGACGCUGAUGCACGAAAGCUAGGGGAGCAAACGGG
rnacentral:rRNA from 1 species